rnacentral:rRNA from 1 species
UGCAAGUCGAGCGGACAGAUGGGAGCUUGCUCCCUGAUGUUAGCGGCGGACGGGUGAGUAACACGUGGGUAACCUGCCUGUAAGACUGGGAUAACUCCGGGAAACCGGGGCUAAUACCGGAUGCUUGUUUGAACCGCAUGGUUCAAACAUAAAAGGUGGCUUCGGCUACCACUUACAGAUGGACCCGCGGCGCAUUAGCUAGUUGGUGAGGUAACGGCUCACCAAGGCAACGAUGCGUAGCCGACCUGAGAGGGUGAUCGGCCACACUGGGACUGAGACACGGCCCAGACUCCUACGGGAGGCAGCAGUAGGGAAUCUUCCGCAAUGGACGAAAGUCUGACGGAGCAACGCCGCGUGAGUGAUGAAGGUUUUCGGAUCGUAAAGCUCUGUUGUUAGGGAAGAACAAGUACCGUUCGAAUAGGGCGGUACCUUGACGGUACCUAACCAGAAAGCCACGGCUAACUACGUGCCAGCAGCCGCGGUAAUACGUAGGUGGCAAGCGUUGUCCGGAAUUAUUGGGCGUAAAGGGCUCGCAGGCGGUUUCUUAAGUCUGAUGUGAAAGCCCCCGGCUCAACCGGGGAGGGUCAUUGGAAACUGGGGAACUUGAGUGCAGAAGAGGAGAGUGGAAUUCCACGUGUAGCGGUGAAAUGCGUAGAGAUGUGGAGGAACACCAGUGGCGAAGGCGACUCUCUGGUCUGUAACUGACGCUGAGGAGCGAAAGCGUGGGGAGCGAACAGGAUUAGAUACCCUGGUAGUCCACGCCGUA